rnacentral:lncRNA from 1 species
AGACAAUUGAGAUUAUAAAAAGGCUGCUGAGCACAUCAGUAUUUUGAGAAAAUGCCAUGUUUUAAAAACACGUUUUUAAAAGUCGAUGUUGAAAAAGGCACACCACCAAGCUGCGAAAACAUCACCAAUGGCAGAAGACAGCAGACUACUCAAUGAGAAUUGAAUUACUCAUCAAUUCAAGAAAUUUGACACUGAGCUGCAGGAAUUUUACCAUCCUAGUAUUUCCAACAACUUCCAGAAAAUACAAGAGAUAGAGGGAAAGAGGAUAGUGAGAAUGAGAGAAUCAGUGAAGAGGGACUUGGAAAACCCUCUACAUGUUUGAAGUUCAGAAUGAAGGAAUCAUUUCAAUAGUUGAAGCAAAAAUAUUGUAUAUUAUAGAGGAAAAUGAAGGUGCUGCGUGAAUCUGCUUUUGGAAAAAUGAAGAUGAAAAGAGUUAAGUCCCUACUUUGUCAACAUUGAUUUGGACUAAAAUGCCAAAGGUGCUAACAUGUCGAAUUGCUUGAAUUCAGGCGGCAAAGAUGGCAGUGAGCCAAGAUCGCACCACUCCACUC